UUUAACGCCGUUGACUUUUUAGCACAUGUUUGACCGUUCGUCUUAUUCAAAAAAUUUAAAUAAUUAUUAAUUUUUUUCCUAUCAUUUGAUUCAUUAUUAAAUAUAUUUUUAUAUAGGCAUAUAACUUUACAUAUUUUACAAAAGUUUUUAAAUAAGACGAACGGUCAAACAUGUGCUAAAAAGUCAAUGGUGUCAAACAUU
rnacentral:pre_miRNA from 1 species